CUCAAAGAUUAAGCCAUGCAUGUAUAAGUAUAAACGACUUGAUCGUGAAACCGCGAACGGCUCAUUAUAACAGCUAUAAUUUACUUGAUCUUGACAAUCUACAUGGAUAACUGUGGUAAUUCUAGAGCUAAUACAUGCACCAAAGCUCCAACCUUACGGGCGGAGCGCAUUUAUUAGAACAAAACCAAGCGGCUUCGGCCGUCCAAUGUUGACUCAGAAUAACUAAGCUGAUCGCAGGGUCUUGUACCGGCGACUUGUCUUUCAAGUAUCUGCCUUAUCAACUUUCGAUGGUAGUGUAUCUGACUACCAUGGUGAUGACGGGUAACGGAGGAUAAGGGUUCGACUCCGGAGAAGGGGCCUGAGAAAUGGCCACUACGUCUAAGGAUGGCAGCAGGCGCGCAAAUUACCCACUCUCAGAACGAGGAGGUAGUGACGAGAAAUAACGAGACCGUUCUCUUAAGAGGCCGGUCAUCGGAAUGGGUACAAUUUAAACCCUUUAACGAGUAUCUAUGAGAGGGCAAGUCUGGUGCCAGCAGCCGCGGUAAUUCCAGCUCUCAAAAUGCAUAGAAUUAUUGCUGCGGUUAAAAAGCUCGUAGUUGGAUCUGUGCUGGCCUCCCGGUCCACCUUCGGGUGCGCACUGGUGAGGCUGGCUUUCCUGCCCGCUCACCUGUCAGUGCCCUUCAUCGGGUGCUGGCUAGGCGUGGGCAAGUUUACUUUGAACAAAUCAGAGUGCUCAAAACAGGCGUUUCGCUUGAAUGUUCGUGCAUGGAAUAAUAGAAGAGGAUUUCGGUUCUAUUUUAUUGGUUUUAUAGACUGAGAUAAUGGUUAACAGAGACAAACGGGGGCAUUCGUAUUGCUACGUGAGAGGUGAAAUUCUUGGACCGUAGCAAGACGGACUACAGYGAAAGCAUUUGCCAAGAAUGUCUUCAUUAAUCAAGAACGAAAGUCAGAGGUUCGAAGGCGAUCAGAUACCGCCCUAGUUCUGACCGUAAACGAUGCCAACUAGCGAUCCGCCGGUGGAAUUUUUGCCCUGGUGGGGAGCUUCCCGGAAACGAAAGUCUUCCGGUUCCGGGGGAAGUAUGGUUGCAAAGCUGAAACUUAAAGGAAUUGACGGAAGGGCACCACCAGGAGUGGAGCCUGCGGCUUAAUUUGACUCAACACGGGGAAACUCACCCGGCCCGGACACCGUAAGGAUUGACAGAUUGAUAGCUUUUUCAUGAUUCGGUGGAUGGUGGUGCAUGGCCGUUCUUAGUUCGUGGAGCGAUUUGUCUGGUUUAUUCCGAUAACGAGCGAGACUCUAGCCUACUAAAUAGUCAGCGCGUUGCCUCUGUGUGCAUGGCUUCUUAGAGGGAUUUUCGGUGUACAGCCGCACGAAAUUGAGCAAUAACAGGUCUGUGAUGCCCUUAGAUGUCCGGGGCUGCACGCGCGCUACACUGGCAGAAUCAGCGUGCUUGUCCUUCCCCGAAAGGGGUUGGUAAACCCUUGAAAAUCUGCCGUGAUUGGGAUCGGAAAUUGCAAUUAUUUUCCGUGAACGAGGAAUUCCAAGUAAGUGCGAGUCAUCAACUCGCGUUGAUUACGUCCCUGCCCUUUGUACACACCGCCCGUCGCUGCCCGGGACUGAGCCAUUUCGAGAAACUCGGGGACCGUUGAUUCAGUGGCCUUCGGGUCGCCGUUUCGAUGGAAACCGAUUUAAUUGCAGUGGCUUGAACCGGGC
rnacentral:rRNA from 1 species